UGGGGAAUAUUGCGCAAUGGUCGAGAGACUGACGCAGCGACGCCGCGUGUGGGAUGAAGCUCUUCGGGGUGUAAACCACUGUUGCCCGGGACGAACGGGAGGAUCAAUCCUCCGUGACGGUACCGGGUGAGGAAGCACCGGCUAACUCCGUGCCAGCAGCCGCGGUAAUACGGAGGGUGCGAGCGUUGUCCGGAAUCACUGGGCGUAAAGGGCGCGUAGGCGGCUUUGUAAGCGGGCGGUGAAAGUCCGGGGCUCAACCCCGGAUCGGCCGUGCGGACUGCAAAGCUCGAGCACUGUAGAGGCCGGUGGAAUUCCGGGUGUAGCGGUGGAAUGCGUAGAGAUCCGGAGGAACACCAGUGGCGAAGGCGGCCGGCUGGGCAGUGGCUGACGCUGAGGCGCGAUAGCGUGGGGAGCAAACAGGAUUAGAUACCCCCGUAGUCC
rnacentral:rRNA from 1 species